rnacentral:lncRNA from 1 species
UGAAGCCGACGUUUAACGAUUGUCACCUGUUUGUCAACAAUGGACAAAAAAAUCAACAAAAAAGCACGGAAAUUGAGCACGUGUUUAACAUGUAGAUUCAGAUAAUAGUUUAUUUUAAGGACAUCCAUGCGUAUUGUGAUCACCGGAUUUUUACGAGAUUGGUCACAAUGAGAUCACUUUGCAUACGGAAAAUAUGUCGGAGG